rnacentral:rRNA from 1 species
GAUGAACGCUGGCGGCGUGCCUAACACAUGCAAGUCGAGCGAACAGACGAGGCGCUUGCUCCUCUGACGUUAGCGGCGGACGGGUGAGUAACAUGUGGAUAACCUACCUAUAAGACUGGGAUAAUCUCGGGAAACCGGAGCUUAUACCGGAUAAUAUAUUGAACCGCAUUGUUCAAUAGUGAAAUUCGGUUUUUCUGUAACUUAUAGAUGGAUACGGGCCGCAUUAGCUGGUUGGUAAGGUGACGGCUUACCAAGGGAACUAUGCGUAGCCGACCUGAGAGGGUGGUCGGCCGCACGGGAAGUGAGACAGGGUCCAGACGCCUGCGGGAGGCCACAGUCGGGAAUCUUCCGCAAUGGGCGAGAGCAUGACGGAGCAACGCGGAGUGAGUGGUGAAGGUCUUCUGAUCGUAAAACUCUGUUAUUGGGGAAGAACAAAUGUGUAAGUAACUAUGCACGUCUUGACGGUACCUGGUCAGAAAGCCACGGCUAACUACGUG